AUGUUCACUCUCACCACCCUCCACAAACUCUUUCUCUUUUCUUUCUUCACUUCAAUCAUUUUCUUCCUCACACCUUCAAUCUCUGCUUCUUCUAACACCUUAACAACAACCCAAAUCCUUAGAAUCAACGAAACCCUCUUGUCCCCAAACGGAAUCUUCCAACUCUUUUUCUUUUCAUACACUAAUUUCUCUUGGAAGCCUCGUUAUCAUAGAUCAAUCCAAUGA